rnacentral:rRNA from 3 species
AGUUUUUUGGUUUUUAAUAAGAAAUGUUUUCUGCUCGGUGAUUUUAGACAGCCGCGGUAAUUUGACCGUGCAAAGGUAGCAUAAUCAUUUGCCUCAUAAUUGGGGGCUAGAAUGAAUGGGAUUACAAGACGUUUUCUUUAUUAAAUAUAAGAUAUGAAUUUGCUUUUCUAGUGAAGAAGCUAGAGUUUUUUUAUGUGACAAGAAGACCCUUUUGAGCUUUAUAAAUUUUGUAGUUUUUUGUUACAUGUUUAUUUGGUUGGGGCGACCGAGGAAGAGCUAUCUUCCUUUUUUAUUUUGAUCCAGUGUUUCUGAUUGUUAGAUUAAGUUACCAAAGGGAUAACAGCGUAAUUUUUUUUGAGAGUUCUUAUCAAAAAAGAAGAUUGCGACCUCGAUGUUGACUUAUGGUUUCCUUUUGGUGUAGCCGCUAUUAGGGUGGGUCUGUUCGACCUUUAAAAUCUU